GAGUAAACCAGCUGUGAGCCAAGAACGCAGCUUGGAGCAGGAAUACAAGCCAACACCCAGCACAAACAAGGGGCAACAAUUAAACUGCCAGGCUGAAAACUGGAGAAGUGUGUCAGCAAAGACUUUUCUGAGGAGGUCACAUUUGAGAGACAUCUACGGACAUGAAGCUGCCAGCCACUGGAAAAGCUGGGUAGAGAGCAUUCCAGGCAGAGAGGACUGCAAGUGCAACAUCUCUAAGAAUCAACCAUAGACCAAGCACAGAAAAUGUUACAGUUACAAAAUAGAAAGUCAGCAUGAUAAGUCCUGAGCAUAUGAAAGUAAACCAGGUAUUAGAAAUUGGGAGGUAGAAAUGGAAUGGACUCCUGAGGAAAAGAAUAGGGCUUACCCUCCUUUUACAGAAUGGGAAACAAAGUUUCAUCAUACAGUGGCAUAAAUAAGACAUAAAAAGUGUAAAAGUUUUAAAUAUGACCAAACAAAAGUAGUAAGGAUAGUAACAUAAUUUAUAUUGGGAAUAUAUAAGGAGAAAGGUGUUAGGGGAGGAAUAAGUGAGCUACAUCCUCAGCUGUCAUAGAAGAAAAUCAAUUAAUAAUGUCUAUUAUUGGGGCACCUGGGUGGCUCAGUCAGUUGAAUGUCUGACUUCAGCUCAGGUCAUGAUCUCAUGGUUUGUGAGUUCUAGCCCAACUUCGGACUCUGUGCUGACAGCUCAGAGCCUGGAGCCUGUUUCAGAUUCUGUGUCUGUCUCUCUCUGUUCCUCCCCCGCUGGU